rnacentral:misc_RNA from 1 species
UCCGGCUUAUCACCGGCAGUCCCAUUAGAGUGCCCAACUUAAUGCUGGCAACUAAUGGCAAGGGUUGCGCUCGUUGCGGGACUUAACCCAACAUCUCACGACACGAGCUGACGACAGCCAUGCAGCAUCUGUGGUGCACCCUCGAAGGUCACACGUUUCCGUGCGCUUGCAGCACCAUGUCAAGUCCAGGUAAGGUGGGGAUGACGUGAGCCUAUCGAGA